rnacentral:rRNA from 1 species
UACGUAGGGGGCAAGCGUUGUCCGGAAUCAUUGGGCGUAAAGAGCGUGUAGGCGGCCAGAAAAGUCCGCUGUGAAAACUCGAGGCUCAACUUCGAGCUGUCGGUGGAAACUUUCUGGCUAGAGUCCGGAAGAGGAGAAUGGAAUUCCUGGUGUAGCGGUGAAAUGCGCAGAUAUCAGGAAGAACACCCGUGGCGAAGGCGGUUCUCUGGGCCGUUACUGACGCUGAGGAGCGAAAGCGUGGGGAGCGAACAGG